AUUGAAUUCAAGCCGUGCAGCAGACGCUUCUCUGUUUAGUGUUUACUGUUGACUUAUAUAGUAUGGAUAUGGAAUCAAUACAAGGGGAAAAUUAUGAAGAGGAAUUAUUUAAUAAUGUCACUUUGCUACGGAGCAUAGACGUUGCAGAGAUACCACCACUCCGCGUCGAUUUCUGAUUUCUUUGCGGAAUGCAAAGGACUAUGACGUAUACCCGUUUUGUAAACAGUGAAGACGUGUUAGUUAGACGUUUGAUAAAAUCUUUUCCAGCUGUUGCAGUGGUCUUUCUAUUUCGG